rnacentral:rRNA from 1 species
UCUUCAUCGAUGCCAGAACCAAGAGAUCCGUUGUUGAAAGUUUUGAUAUAUUUAUGUUUUACUCAGAAGUUACAUAUAGAAACAGAGUUUAGGGGUCCUCUGGCGGGCCGUCCCGUUUUACCGGGAGCGGGCUGAUCCGCCGAGGCAACAAGUGGUAUGUUCACAGGGGUUUGGGAGUUGUAAACUCGGUAAUGAUCCCUUUCCGUAGGCGACCUGCGGAGGGAUCAUUACCGAGUUUACAACUCCCAAACCCCUGUGAACAUACCACUUGUUGCCUCGGCGGAUCAGCCCGCUCCCGGUAAAACGGGACGGCCCGCCAGAGGACCCCUAAACUCUGUUUCUAUAUGUAACUUCUGAGUAAAACCAUAAAUAAAUCAAAACUUUCAACAACGGAUCUCUUGGUUCUGGCAUCGAUGAAGAACGCAGCAAAAUGCGAUAAGUAAUGUGAAUUGCAGAAUUCAGUGAAUCAUCGAAUCUUUGAACGCACAUUGCGCCUGCCAGUAUUCUGGCGGGCAUGCCUGUUCGAGCGUCAUUUCAACCCUCAAGCACAGCUUGGUGUUGGGACUCGCGUUAAUUCGCGUUCCCCAAAUUGAUUGGCGGUCACGUCGAGCUUCCAUAGCGUAGUAGUAAAACCCUCGUUACUGGUAAUCGUCGCGGCCACGCCGUUAAACCCCAACUUCUGAAUGUG